rnacentral:tRNA from 1 species
AGAAAGUUAGUCUAAUCAAGACAGUUGAUUUCGACUCAACAGAUUAUAGCCUCCACCUAUAACUUUCUU